CAGGGAGACAACAAAAUGUUUAAUAUUAUUUUGUCACCUUAGGUCGAUCGGUAUCUCACGUUCUUAAUUUAUUAAGAAUUUCAUUUCCUAAGUUUUUCUAGGUCACACCCAUUAUUUUUCCUGGGCCAUUAGCUCAGGUGGUUAGAGCGCACCCCUGAUAAGGGUGAGGUCCCUGGUUCAAGUCCAGGAUGGCCCAUAUCUCUAUGUUGGGGGUAUAGCUCAGUUGGUAGAGCGCCUGCUUUGCAAGCAGGAUGUCAGCGGUUCGAGUCCGCUUACCUCCACUGAUUACCACCUCUUCCAUAACCGGUAGUAAAGGAAAUGUUUUGAGUUGUGAUCAAAUCCUGAAAGAAUCUAGCUUCCUAAUGAAAUCAUUAAGAUGCUGGACUCAUUGAAUUAAUUUCAUUGUUUUCAGAGAACCUUGACAACUGCAUAGAUUAUUUUUAAAGACAAUAAGCAUCUUUAAUGAUGCAGAUUUAUUAUUUGUGCGAAUGCAUUAAUAACAAUUCUAUUAAGCUGAUGCUUCAAUUUUUGAAGUUAUU
rnacentral:tRNA from 1 species